GCUGACUUCUCUUCCUUCUCCAUGUCAGGUGACUUCUCUGCCUUCUCCGUGUCAGCUGACUUCACUUCCUUCUCCAUGUCAGCUGACUUCUCUGCCUUCUCUGUGUCAGCUGACUUCUCUUCCUUCUCCAUGUCAGCUGACUUCUCUGCCUUCUCCGUGUCAGCUGACUUCUCUUCUUCUCAGUGACAGCUGACUUCUCUUCCUUCUCCGUGUCAGCUGACUUCUCUUCCUUUUCCAUGUCAGCUGACUUCUCUUCUUCUCCGUGUCAGCUGACUUAUCUUCGUUCUUCCUGUCAGCUGAAUUCUCUUCUUCUCCGUGUCAGCUGACUUCUCUUCUUCUCCGUCUCAGCUGACUUCUCUUCCUUCUCCGUGUCAGCUGACUUCUCUGCCUUCUCUGUGUCAGCUGACUUCUCUUCCUUUUCCGUGUCAGCUGACUUGUCUUCCUUCUCCGCGUCAGCUGACGUCUCUUCCUUCUCCCUGUCAGCUGACUUCUCUUCUUCUCCGUGUCAGCUGACUUAUCUUCCUUCUCCCUGUCAGCUGACUUCUCUUCUUCUCCGUGUCAGCUGACUUCUCUUCUUCUCCGUUUCAGCUGACUUCUCUUCUUCUCCGUGUCAGCUGACUUCUCUUCAUUCUCCGUGUCAGCUGACUUCUCUUCCUUUUCCGUGUCAGCUGACUUCUCUUCUUUCAGCUGACUUCUCCUCUUUCUCCAUGUCAACGGACUUAUCCUCCUUCUCCCUGUCAGCUGACUUCUCUUCCUUCUUCCUGUCAGCUGACUUCUCUUCUUUCUCAGUGUCAGCUGACUUCUCUUCCUUCUCCGUGUCAGCUGACUUCUCUUCCUUUUCCAUGUCAGCUGACUUCUCUUCUUCUCCGUGUCAGCUGACUUCUCUUCUUUCUCCAUGUCAGCUGACUUCUCUGCCUUCUCUGUGUCAGCUGACUUCUCUUCCUUCUCCAUGUCAGCUGACUUCUCUGCCUUCUCUGUGUCAGCUGACUUCUCUGCCUUCUCUGUGUCAUCUGACUUCACCUCCUUCUCC
rnacentral:lncRNA from 1 species